GGGCCUAUAGCUCAGCCGGUUAGAGCGCACGCCUGAUAAGCGUGAGGUCGAUGGUUCGAGUCCAUCUAGGCCCA
rnacentral:tRNA from 1 species